ACAGAGAUUUAAAAAUGGAAAACAUUUUAGUUAAAAGCAGUGACAUCAGUGAAGCAAAUGAAAUUAGACGUGAAGGGCUAAAUAUAUCAUCUCCAUUGAUUCUGGAACUGAAGGCCAUGGUUCUUGCUUUGAACCCAUGACCAUAUCUCCCAUGAUGUAGCAGAUAAAAAUAUGGCCCCAAAACAACAUCUUUUUGAACAGCUGAAACAAUAUUAAGUGAUUAGUGAAUAGACUAUGAUUAGUGAAUUUUUAAUCUAGGAUAUAAAUCCAUUUGGCUAUUUUUAUGUUUAGAGUAUUUUGGCAUUGAUUUUAUUUAUUGUAUGAUGUAUUCUAGCCAAUGUGCAAACAGAGGCUGUCGUGUCUUGCAAAAACCCUGUGUUCUUUUGUUCUACUCUUAUUUCUGGGAGAAGAAAAAGUUUGUAUGGUGUCUUGCAGUACUUAAGUCAGCAUUUUAAGAAUGCCCCUUUAAUAACUUACUGUGGGGAAAAACAAUACAAAGUUUAAUCAUACAGCUAAUGUCACAAUGUCACCACCCCCUUAACAGCUAAAUGAUAAAAGUGAGGACACAUCAGCAUGAAUUGUUAAGGUCUGUACAUUAUUCAUUUAAACAUCUGCUGUUGGUUCCUCUUUACAUAUGGGAAUAAAUUAUACCACAUCAGCACAUUCUUCAUGCUUUGUGUUUAAGCAUUUAAAAGUUUUUUUUUUUGUAUUAUUAAUAUUAUUUUUUCUGCUUGGUUGGCAGCCCUUGAAAUUAUCAGUGCCCAGGACUACAGUCAACAGCGUGAUGUUUAGAGCACAGGUGUCGUUACGUACAUGCUGGUGAAACACAUUUUGUCCAGAAACGAUGUAGUAUCUUGGAGUUGAUGAAGGAACGAAGUAAUAAUCUGGGCACUGGUGAACGAUGCAGUAUAGAAGAAGAAUCAAAUAUUCCUACUGCUACAUGUCAACAGGAUGAAACCAGGGAAGCACAAGAAAGCUCUACCAGUGACAAACAGUGGCAUAGAACUUGGUGCCGAAAUUGAAA